UACAGAGGGUGCAAGCGUUAAUCGGAAUUACUGGGCGUAAAGCGUGCGUAGGUGGUUUGUUAAGUCAAGUGUGAAAUCCCCGGGCUCAACCUGGGAACUGCAUUUGAUACUGGCAAGCUAGAGUGUGGUAGAGGGUAGUGGAAUUCCCGGUGUAGCGGUGAAAUGCGUAGAUAUCGGGAGGAACAUCAGUGGCGAAGGCGGCUACCUGGACCACAACUGACACUGAGGCACGAAAGCGUGGGGAGCAAACAGG
rnacentral:rRNA from 1 species